CUGCUCUGGCAGCACAUGGACUAAAACUGGGAAAUUACUGAAAAGAUUAGCAUGGCCCCUGCACAUGGAUGACACACAAACUGAUGAAGUGUUCUGUAUUUUU
rfam:Erinaceus europaeus unplaced genomic scaffold scaffold00120, whole genome shotgun sequence